AGUCAGUCACAUGAGCCGCCGGGGAGCCGCGCAGCCCCCGCCCUCCUUCCCCCGCACCCCUUUGGCCGUGAAUGGCACGGCCCGGAUGCGCUUGUACGCAAGGAGGGUGCGGGCGAACCAUUGAGCGGGGGUGGGGGAACCCGGCAGCCGCCGGCUUGGGAACACCCCUUCGCCCGGGCGUUGCAGCGGAGGGAACGGACGUGACAGGCUGAGCGGCCGGGCGCCGGCUGCCGGAGACGGAGGGCGAUGGUCGUCCCCAGGGGACAGGAGUACCAGGCCCCCCAGGAGGUUGAAACAAGAGAAGAUGAGGAACAAAACAUCAAGUUGACUGAAAUUUUGGAACUGUUGGUGGCUGCUGGGUAUUUUCGAGCAAGAAUCAAGGGGUUAUCACCCUUUGACAAGGUGGUAGGUGGCAUGACGUGGUGUAUCACUACUUGCAACUUUGAUAUCGAUGUUGAUUUAUUGUUUCAGGAAAACUCUACUAUUGGUCAAAAAAUCGCCUUAACCGAAAAAAUUGUAUCGGUAUUGCCAAAAAUGAAGUGUCCUCAUCGUUUGGAACCACAUCAGAUCCAGGGAUUGGAUUUCAUUCAUAUAUUUCCUGUUGUCCAGUGGCUGGUGAAACGUGCAAUAGAAACAAGGGAAGAAAUGGGAGACUAUAUCCGUUCUUAUUCCAUAUCACAAUUUCAAAAAACUCACAGGCUACCGGAGGAUGAUGAAUUCAUGCAAAGAAAAGAGAAGGCUAUCAAAACUGUUACUGAUAUCUUUGAGGUUUACAAACCCCAGAGAAAAUAUAAACGUCAGAAGGGAGCUGAAGAGCUGCUAGAUGAGGAAUCAAGGGUUCAUGCCACGCUUCUGGAAUAUGGCAGGAGAUAUGGAUUUAGCAGACAAGCAGGAAAAACGGAACAGGCCGAAGAUAAAAAAAUCGCGCUACCUCCAGGACUUGGAACAGCAGGAAAAUCUGAGCCUUGUGAUGAAGAUGACCUUCAGGCUGCUGAAGAGCUUCGCAUUAAAACUCUGAUGACUGGAAUGGCUGCAAUGGCAACAGAAGAGGGCAAGUUGACAGCAAGCACAGUUGGCCAGAUUGUUGGACUCCAGUCAGAUGAGAUCAAGCAGAUAGUGUCAGAAUAUGCUGAAAAGCAAUCUGAGCUUUCUGCUGAGGAGCGACCAGAAAGGCUUGGAGCUGCCCAACAACACAGAAGGAAGGUGGCAUCUCUGAAUAAGCAGAUUUUGCAGAAAACCAAACUCCUGGAAGAGUUGCAAGCCAAAUGUGCUGAUCUGCAGGCAAAAUGUACAGAAGCAAAAAAGACAUUAACUGAGGUUAAGAGUUACGGUGAAAAACUGGACAAAGAAUUGGCAGCCUUAGAAACAAUAGAAUCCCAAGCAGAUUCUAGCGUAUUACAGAGUCUGCGAGCACUGGUGGCCAUGAAUGAAAACCUAAAAAGCCAGGAGCAAGAGUUCAAAGCACACUGUAGAGAAGAAAUGGAGAGACUUCAACAAAAUAUUGAGAACUUGAAAGCUGAGGCAGCAGAAAAUGGGGAGGAACAGGAGCCGAAUAGGAUUAUAGAACGACAGUACAAAACUGAGAAAGAGAAACUUCAAAAGAUCCGCCUGUUAUUGGCACGAAGAAACAGAGAAAUAGCCAUUUUACAGCGCAAGAUUGAUGAAGUCCCGAGCCGAGCUGAGCUAACACAGUAUCAGAAGAGAUUUAUUGAACUUUACAGUCAGGUCUCAGCAACUCACAAAGAAACGAAGCAGUUCUUUACUCUUUAUAAUACACUGGAUGAUAAGAAAGUAUAUUUGGAAAAGGAGGUUAACUUACUGAAUUCCAUUUACGACAACUUUCAUCAUUGUUGUCUUUUUUCCUUUCCAGAGCAAUGGCAUCUUCUGGUUCUCGUGAGCAGUUUUUACGGCAGAUGGAGCAGAUUGUAGAAGGCAUCAAACAGAAUCGAAUGAAGAUGGAAAAGAAGAAGCAAGAAAACAAAAUGCGGAGAGAUCAGUUGAAUGAUGAAUACUUAGAACUUCUAGAGAAACAACGGCUUUACUUCAAAACAGUGAAAGAAUUUAAAGAGGAAUGCCGUAAGAACGAAAUACUGCUGUCCAAGCUGAAAGCCAGUUCUUCCUGAAGAAAGAAGGCCAGCUGGUGAAGUUCACAGAUGAUUGUUCAGUCCCUUGAAUCUCUUUUGUGAGGUGACAUUUAUAACUGCAAUGUAGAUAUAUAUAUAUAGAUAGAUAUAUAUAAAAAUAUAUACACACAGCUGUAAAAGCCUGUUCCUUUCCAGUAUGUAUUCAGUUUUACAUUCCUUCAACACAUGGCUGUAUUAUUCAUUAUUGCCUCCAGUACACAGUAAAGAGUUAACGCAGUACAGCAAAAUAGAAUAUUGUCUAAUUUUAUUUAUUGGGGUUUGGUUUUUUGCCCACAGUAAGGACAAUGAGGAUGCUUAUUAUUUGGGUUUUAACACUGAAUUAGGUCGGAAUUCUGGAAUAAAUAGGUAUGUACUGUCUAAUAUGUCCAGUACCAUGACAUGAGCACUGCAGAAUGCAGUGGUUUGUUAAUUUCGGCCAAAAAUGCCCACCACAGUGAGAUUCUUGAAACUCUCAUCAUUAUCUAGUAACUGCACAUUAUUUUAAUUUACACUCUAGACUUAGAUAAGGUUUCAAAGGAUAAAAAUUAAUUUCUAAUGGUUAAGAGAGAAGGAAAAGGAAACUUACCUUGGAUAAUUCUUCAUGUAAAAUUAUAAAUCUAUAUUUUUAUAAAGUCUAGCUGCUGUAUAAAUUUCUUCGAAAUUUCAUUUUUAUAUAGAGAGAGUAUGCUUGUUAAUAGUUUCAGGAAAAAACACCUUUGUCACUAGGACCAUCAUGUUAUCCCUGGCUGGGAUGAAAAUCAAAGUCUGUGUCACCUGUAAUAUGGGAGGAAAAAGUUUCAGACAUUCGGCUCAAAUGAACUGAUGCUCACCUUUGAAGACAACAUCCUAUUUAUCCUGCUGAGGAUUUGCCCUUGGGAGUUAAGAAACUUUGUUGAACACUUUCUGAAACAUUUUUAUAUCUGUAUAUACAGUAUUUUAUAAUUCAAACAGUUUCUUUUUGUACUUAACAUCAGGAUUUUGGACUGACUUCUUAAUGUACAUCACAUCUUCAGGAGAAGAAAAACCAGGUUCUUUUUUCCUCAUAACGCUGAUGCCAGUGCUGAUCCAUUACUUUCUAUGGCAGCGAAUACAAAAUAAAGAAUGUUUGGAAUCCA